ensembl:lncRNA
UCCUAUGAUUCAGAUUGUUGCUUUCACAAUUCCCUCCGAUUGUUGUUGACAUUUCCAUAUCUAAUUGGAAGAUGAUUUUAUAAUUGUAAAUAGUGGGGACUUUACAUUUUUGGAUUAUUGGGUGAAAAUAUUUCUACAAAUAAUCAAGCAUUUUCUCAGAAAGCUCUUUAAAUGGUACCACAUACUUGAAAACAUUUUCCUCUGAAAAUAAGCCCUGAAACAAUUAGUCUGGUUGGAAUACAUCUAUUUGGUUAAAUGAAAUGUACUCUAGAGGCAGUUUUAUUUAGCUGCCUUUAAAGGUUCAAUCUUUCUGCUCCAAUUUAGGUCCAUGAAAGACCAAAUUGUUCACAUGAGUCACCAUGAAGAAAUGAGCCAACUUCUCAAAAAUGUUGAUUCUCAAAUCUCUAGUCAAUGCUUAAGUCAAAAACUGGCUGAUUCCGAAGCCUGCCAAGAUCAACAGCUGAAAGUACAGUUGCUCCAGACAGAGCUAAAGAACCUCGCUAAAAGGCUUGAGGAAUUGAGGGAAAGUUGCCCAGGUCUACGCUGCAAAGCACCCGUGGAUCUGAUGCUGGGACAGCUGUGGAGGUCUUGGGCAGUGCUGCAGUGGAGAGUAGAAUCACUCAAAGCCAGCACGUCUCAUAAAGAAGCAGAGUGGAGAGACUUUGUGAUGCGUCUGAAUAAAUCAAAGAAAGGUCUUGACAGACUGCAGAAUGAUCUUCCAGACUCUUCUAUGGUGGCGGGAUCCCUGGUGGAUCUUCAGGUUGUUCUGAGCCUCACUGAGCGCCUUCAAGAUGGGAUUGAGCAGGAGCAUCACACUUUGGUAUCUCUACAACACCAUGUGGCACGAUUGCUUGGGGUAUCAAAUUUGCAGCAGUUGAAAGUGUGCCCUCAAAUCUGCCAGGACUUGCAGUCUUUACAGGGUCACUGCAGAAGGUAUGACUUAUACACAAAGACACAUUAA